CACGUAGGCACCAAGCGUUGUCCGGAUUUAUUGGGCGUAAAGAGCUCGUAGGCGGUUCGGUAAGUCGGGUGUGAAAACUCUGGGCUCAACCCAGAGCCGCCACCCGAUACUGCUGUGACUCGAGUGGCGGUGAGGGGAGGCGGGGUGAAUUCCUGGUGUAGCGGUAGAAAUGCGCAGAUAUCAGGAGGAACACCAGUGGCGAAGGCGCCGCUCUGGGCCGUGACUGACGCUGAGGAGCGAAAGCGUGGGUAGCAAACAGG
rnacentral:rRNA from 1 species